AACCAAAGCUGCGUGUCAGUGAGCCGUGCCGGUCACAUGGUGUCACUGCUGGUGGCCGCGCCUUGCUGCCUCCCUCUUGCAGCUCUCUGACGAUGCAGCGACCGCGGCUGGCGGAGAUUGAGCAACGGGGAAAGGUGGACAUCCAAAGGUGAUACAGCUGGAAAAAGGAUCUUCAUCCAAGACAAAGAGAAACAAAGUCGAUAGGAAAGUGAUGAAAGGCAUCAAGCAAAGUGAGGAUGCAAAUGAGAAAACAAGAUCAGAAGACAGGAAUAUCUGAAACAAGUCACAAAUGCAUAGUAUGACCUCUCAGAAUCGUCUGGAUAAGUGUCAGCAUUCUCCAAGUCACUUUCUUGGUAUGAAAUGAACAUUUGUGGCCAGGUGCAGUGGCUCACACCUGUAAUCCCACCACUUCAGGAGGCCGAGGUGGGCAGAUCAUGAGGUCAAGAGAUCGAGACCAUCCUGGCCAACAUGGUGAAACCCCGUCUCUGCUAAAAAUGCAAAAAUUAGCCAGGCGUGGUGACAUGUGCCUGUAAUCCCAGCUACUUGGGAGGCUGAGGCAGGAGAAUCGCUUGAGCCUGGGAGGCAGAGGUUGCAGUGUGCCGAGAUCGCACCACUGCACUGCAGCCUGGUGACAGAACGGGACUCCGUCUCAAAAAAAAAAGAAAUGAACAUUUGUAAAUGGAGUCUAAUUAAAUUUUGUACUUUAAAAGAAAAGUUACAAGUUAAUUUGUUCUGUUGUUUCUCCUUGCUAUUUUUAUAACAAUUAGUAUUUAGGAAUAACACUGUGGUUCAGAUAUGAACUAUUUCACAAAAUCAACUUAAUAAUGAAGUCAACAAUUAUUUCUCUUUAUUCAAUCUUGUCACUUAGCUCAAAAAAGAACUGCACUGCUCUUUCCUUUUCAGUGAUGAAAAGGAACAGAAUGCUAGAAAACCAUCUUACAGCUUGGCAUUUUUUCAUUUGUUUAUUUAUUCAUUUAUUCAAUGAAUGUAUUCCAAGCUAAUUCCUUUUGCAACAUUCUUUAUCUGAUUCAUGUCUCCUCUGAAAACUUCCUCCUUCUAUUUAUUUUUUGCUUUUAUAUGUUCAUCCUCAUUUCUAUUGACUGUAAAGUAGUCAAACCUCUCAUUAAAAAGGAAAGAAAGAAAUGGGGAGAAGAGAGGAAAGGGGAGACAAGAAAAGAAAGAGAGGAAAUAUCCCUUGAUUUUACAUUUUUCUCUAUGGCUCUUAUAUUUCUUCUAUUUAAGAGCCAAGAUUUUCCAAAGAAUAGUUAAUAAUAUAAGUUUCAAAACUUUUAUUUCCCAUUCACUCUUUAAGUACCCACACCAACUCGCAAAAUUAAUUUAUUCUCACUGUAGAAAACUUGGAAAAUGCAGCAAAAUGUAAAAAAGAAAAUCAAAACCAUCUAUAAAUUUAUAUACCACAGUUACCAUUGUUGAUUUUUAGUUCAUUUUGUUUAUAUGCAUGUCUUUUUUACAUUCAGAAUCAUGUCCAAUUUCAUAUUUGUAUAUGACAUUAAAUUAUGAUCAUUUUAUUAUAUCAUUAAAAUUUUUCAAAAACAUAAAUUUUAAUAACUACAAAAUAUUCUACCAUAUAGUUUUACAAUAAUUAUUAAUUUCAGAUUU